CCAGAAGUUGAUGGGAGCAUCCCUUGAGCCCAGGAGUUCAAGUCCAGCCUGGGCAACAUAGUGAAAUCCCACCUCUCAAUCUUUUAAAAAAUUAAAUUACAACUUCCCAUAUUAUAAAAAAGUACUGCAGCUCCAAGCUUGAAUGGAAAUUCAUUAGAUUUUUAUAAAUUUGAAGGAAGUUUAUUUCUGAAAAUAAAUUUUGUUGAAUUUCUUCUUAAGGUGGAAAUUUGUUUUUCAUUCCUUUUCUUUGCAUGUGAGUUUUGUAUCAGUUGUGGAACUCUAUAGCUCCACUACAUAUUUGGGUAUUUGAAUAUUUGAAUCUGUUGUGCUUUUUCCAGGAAAUUCUGAAUUUUAGGAUAGUCUACAGGUACCAUAAAUUGAGAAGUCCAAACAAUUCAUUAUCUUCCUUGAAGCCCAAACCUGCCAUUUUUCUCAGAUAGGAAAGCCACCAAACAUAGGGAGCAUGCCUGCCACUUCCCUCUGGCCCGUCUCUGGCUCAUCCGCCACAGAGACCUAUUUAUUACAUCCCCUGAGUAUUCUUCUAAUUCCCCCUCCUUUCCAUCCCCACUCUUUCAGCCACACUUCAGGACCAUGGUCUGUGCAUCGCUUAGUCUCAUCCUAAUUUAUCCGCAGCUCCACCCACUCCAACCUCCUCUCCCCUCUCUAAGACAACCUUUACUUCCCCACCUAUGCCUGUUCCAAUUUACUGUCUCUGAACCCCACAUAUGCCCUUUUCUGCCCUACAUUAUGAUAACUGGAGCUGGACCUAAUUUCUUUCGUUAGCGGGCACAAUGUUAGACCUUGUCAGUAGAGGGCGCUAGAGGGACACUGCACAAGGAAGGGGCUUCUCUUCUGGUUCCAGCUCUGUUCUUAGAAAACAAUGAGCUGUCUCCUUGCCAACCAGCAGCUCCCUUGGUAGGGGCAUGCAGAAGACCUGAUGACACAAACCCUCCAAAGAGUUUCACCCUCACCACAACAGGUGGCUUCCUGCUCGGCAGCCCAUCCUGCAUCACUUCAGUGGACUUCUCUGACAUCUACUAGACCACAUUAAAUGAAUCACAGCCUUGAAACUGAACUGGAAGGACUUCCUUCAAGAUUUUUAUCUAAUUCCUGUUGGACAGUGUAAAAUGCCACUUCUUCCAGGGUUGCCUGCAUAUCAUCAAAAGGGAAAUAGUACUCAUCGAAGAUGUGCCUUUGCUAGGAACUAGGACAAGGGUGGCCUUUAUAAAUUCAUGAAGAGAAGGAGCCAGCAUAUGAACUUGCUGCCUAUCUUUAGCAAGGAGAUGCAAAUGACAUCCACAAACCUCUUCUGCUGUAUACCUGGAUGAAAGCAAGGCUAGCUGUGUGUCCUAUGGCACCAAGGACUGAAAGAUUGUAAGAAGUAAGAGGGAAAGUGAUCCAAAAAGGUGGAACACCUAAUGUACAGCCCCAAGGAAGGAGCAUACUUGGAGAAUUCAAGGAACAGAAAGAAAAACAGGAAGGCUGGAGUGAAACUGAUUAAAUAAAGCAUCGUAACAUUAGAGGUCCAUCAUAGAGGCCAAGCCAAAUACAACUAUGUUUUCAAGCAUAAGAUGGAUAGAUGUGGUAAACCACAAGAAGCAAACAGCCCUUUAGAGGUGUGGAUUGACCUUGCAGAGUUACAAGUGGAGCCAGGAGAAAUCAUGUUGAGUGGGACUUCUCAUCCUACCUAAGAGAGACUAACAGAUGGAAAGCUGGGUACAGAAGGGAGAGAAGGCAGUAACAGUCAGAUUUCAAUACGCUGAGACUGUGACGUGGGACUUUUGAGUGAGUAACAUCUGCUCCUAGAACUGAGUUGAGUGGGGAUCCUCCCACACCACCCAGGCAAGAGAACUAACAAUUGAUGACUGCUCCAAAUCAGUCGCCAGUCUACCUAAUACUUCUACCUGAUGUGAUGCCAGAAGUAGAGCAGCCAUCUUGCAACCACAAAGCAACAGCAUGAGUAUGAAAGUUAGUGCAUUAAGGAUGCUGGAAUAGAAUGAUUGAAAGCCAGAUGCCUAAUGACGUUGCUGAAUAGCUGAAACAAUACCAGCAACUAGCUGGUCUUGCUCUGUUGCCUGGCCUGAAGUGCAGUGGCAUGAUCAUGGCUCACUGCAGCCUCAACCUCCCAGGCACAAGUGAUCCUCCCACCUCAACUUCCAGAAUAUAGAAGCUGGAACUACAGUGACCUACAUCCAAAGUGAAAAGUUAUUCAGCCUCUGAAGAGAAGCAUUUUGUUUGGGGAUCUUCAAGUAUGCUUGUCAGCACCGAGAACUGGAAAAAAAUCUCUGAUUGUCCUGCAGCAAUGGCAUUAAAGGCUCCUCAUAACAUACAGAACCAGAAUUGUGCCAUAAUUUACUGAAAUUGAACAUUGCUCUGUGACUGCUAAUUUUCCAUCGAGAUGAUUCUGUCUCUAACCAAGAAAAGAAAAGUUUGUCUUCCUGACUGCUGACACUGCUGACCAAGCCCACCACCAGAUGCCUGGCUGCACACCCAGAGGGCAGCCGCUUCCCGUGGUCCUCUCGAAGAACUUCCCUUUUGCAAUGCAUGUUUAGCAAGUGGAUGAGUUUGUCUUUUCUGAUUUCUCUGCAAGCUCUGCAUUGCCCACCUGAACCAGUGCUUCAGAAGAACUAAUGGGAUCUCUGACCCUCCAACAUCCUCUUCCAGACUUUCACUUUCCUGGCUCCUUGCAGGGACAUGUAAUAAACGUGCUCUCCAGAGAAAGCCUGA
rnacentral:lncRNA from 1 species